UGUAGCACCUAUAAGCUAAUGGCGGCA
rnacentral:piRNA from 1 species